UAUAAAUCAUCAAUAUCAUACGUCUAUUACUCUUCCUGAUUCUACAUAUUGUUUUCAGUCAUAGAUUUAGAGUGUUUUUUUUUCAUGUUCUUGCAAAGCAGAUGUGUUUAAAAAACUAUAGCUAUUUUACUGCUUUUCGGAUGCUAUGAAAUGCUUAUACUAAAUUUCACAAAUAUGUUCAUGUCUUUCUAUAUUUAUACAAUGUAUGUUGUGUUGCUCAAUGCUCGCUACCUCUGGUAUUAAUCUCUCUUGCAUUCCUUUACUAAUACCAUUAUCUUGUGCUUCUAAAUACCACAAUCUGAUCAAAGCCUUACGCCUCUGCAAAAUGGCGAGGUCUUCAUGGCACUAAAAUCUGGUAUUUACCUCCAUUUUCUGCCGUCAACUGAACUUUUCGAAUUCUAUUUUAAGUCCACAAGAGGGCAAAAUCAUUGCUCUUUCCCAGAUUAUCUAAAUCAGAUGAGCGGGUUCCAAACUCCAAGUGCCAUUUGCCGUUUUUGUGUUUUGAUUUUUACUUGAGUGCCUUUGGACCGAUGGUAGUAUGGAGAGGUGACAUUAGCACGGUUGAUGGUUGCUUCUCUCUUGUAGAGUACAUCUCCUUCUUCUAUAUUCCAAUAUAUCAAUAAAACAAGAGAUCUAUAAUAUCAUUGUUUAUGGAGUUCACAGAUUAUUGAAGAUUUUUGCUGCCAUGGAAUUGUGAGUUUGUGACUAUACAUUCUUGUGUCUUGAAGAUGUAUUGUCUCUGUAUGUGAAUGUCAAUAUCCAGAGUCCAUGAUAUCAUACAGUUUGAAGUCAAAAAAUUCAUGAUAUGGGUGAUAUGGAAAAGUCAUUGCCUUCUUUGCUGGAACAUUCCCUGAUUGCCUGGACUUCUUGGGUCAAUCGCUGGACGCCACCCCCGUCUCCUGGACGUCAUGACGCCGCCGAUUUCCUUGACGCCGCGUGCCACCGAUCUUCUAUAACUCAAUUUCUCCAAUUUCUCUCGGCUGUGAGCUCAUAUAUAUUUUUGAGCUGUGAACUUAUUAUGUAAACUCAACACUUUGUUUUGUGACAAGUGAACUCAUUUCAUAUUCAUCUAUCAAUCAUGGUUGAAGUGUCUA